rnacentral:rRNA from 1 species
GACGAACGCUGGCGGCGUGCUUAACACAUGCAAGUCGAACGGAAAGGCCCUUCGGGGUACUCGAGUGGCGAACGGGUGAGUAACACGUGGAUGAUCUGCCCUGCACUUUGGGAUACGCCUGGGAAACUGGGCCUAAUACCGAAUAUGAUCAUCAGCUUCACGGGUGGGGGUGGCAAGCUUUUGCGGUGUGGGAUGGGACCGCGGCCUAUAAGCUUGUUGGUGGGGUAAUGGCUUACCAAGGCGACGAGGGGUAGCCGGCCUGAGAGGGUGACCGGCCACAAUGGGACGGAGAUACGGCCCAGACUCCUACGGGAGGCAGCAGUGGGGAAUAUUGCACAAUGGGCGCAAGCCUGAUGCAGCGACGCCGCGUGAGGGAUGACGGCCUUCGGGUUGUAAACCUCUUUCAGCACAGACGAAGCGCAAGUGACGGUAUGUGCAGAAGAAGGACCGGCCAACUACGUGCCAGCAGCCGCCGUAA